CUUCGGAGGGAGUGGCGCACGGGUGAGUAACGCGUGGGAACCUGCCUUGGAGUGGGGGAUAACCGAUGGAAACGUCGGCUAAUACCGCAUACGUCCUGAGGGAGAAAGAUUUAUCGCUCUGAGAGGGGCCCGCGUCGGAUUAGCCAGUUGGUGGGGUAACGGCCUACCAAGGCGAUGAUCCGUAGCUGGUCUGAGAGGAUGAUCAGCCACACUGGGACUGAGACACGGCCCAGACUCCUACGGGAGGCAGCAGUGGGGAAUAUUGGACAAUGGGCGCAAGCCUGAUCCAGCAAUGCCGCGUGAGUGAUGACGGCCUUAGGG
rnacentral:rRNA from 1 species